UGAAAAAUCCAAYUGAAGCUGCAUACGGCUCAUUAUAUCGAUUAUAAUGAACUUGAUAAAGAGUUUUAGUAAAAGGUCACACUUUUAAAGAAAUUAUUACAUGGAUAACUGUGGUAAUUCUAGAGCUAAUACAUGCUUAAUAUUAACUUUGCGAAAGCAAGUUAAUGCAUUUUAUUAGUUACAACUCAAUGACUUAAAGUCUAAAAGUGACUUAUAAUAAAAUUGCGGAUCUUUAAAGAUUUGUCAAUAAAAUUUCUGCCCUAUCAACUUUAGAUGGUAGAGUAGUGGUCUACCAUUGUGAUAACGGGUAACGGGGAAUUAGGGUUCGAUUCCGGAGAGUUAGCAUGAGAAAUGGCUACCACAUCCACGGAUGGCAGCAGGCGCGCAAAUUACCCAAUCCUAAUAAAGGGAGGUAGCGACACGAAAUAUCAAUGCGAAGCCUAUAUGGUUUUUGCAAUUGGAAUGAAAUGAAAGUAGAUUUCUCUUUGAGAAACAAUUGGAGGGCAAGUCUGGUGCCAGCAGCCGCGGUAAUUCCAGCUCCAAUAGCGUAUAUUAAAUUUGUUGCGGUUAAAAAGCUCGUAGUUGAAACAUAAAGCAAAUGCAAUAAAGUACUUUGGUACUUUUAUUGGCAUAUUGCAAAGAAAAAGCUAUAUUUUUGAUGUCAAAGUCAAAGUAUUUCUUUUUGCUUUACCUUGAAAAAAAUGGAGUUCUCAAAGCAGACUUCACAUAAAUGUAUUUUAAAUACAAAAUGUAAAAUGUUAAGACAUUAUAGCAAGGGAUAAUAAAAAAGGACUAGCGGCAUAGAGAUGAUGUCAGUUAGAAAUGAUAAAAAGAGGCGGGUGGGGGCAUUAGUAUUAAUUGGUUAGAGGUGAAAUUCUUAGAUCCUUUUAAGACUAUCAAAAGCGAAAGCAAUUGCCAAACACGUUCUCGUUGAUCAAGAGCUAAACUUAGAGUAGUCAAAAAGAUUAGAUACCUUUGUAGUUCUAAGUAUAAACUAUGCCAUCUUAAGAUUAGUCAUUAGGUUUUUAACCUUUGAUUAGCAUUAUGUGUGAAAACACUAACCUGGUGA
rnacentral:rRNA from 1 species